GUGCUAUCAGGCAACAAAAAAAAGACACUUGAAGUAGAAAAUAAUUAAUAAUCUACUUGAGUUUUUAAACACCCUCUGUCAAAUCUCUUCUCCUGCUGUUCACUGCAACUACCAUGGACAGCAAGGAGGUGGCAGGACAGUUGUAAACUGAUCUGUGCCAGGGCUUUACCAGUCGCACAAAGCACUGUUGAGUAACCUCAGGAAUUCUUUCCCUAGUGACUGUCCCCGUGCCUGUGCCCAUCCCUGCUGAAACAACGUGCCUGAGAGGACAGCAGGAGAGAGCUUGCAGAGACGUCCAGAUGCACAGAGCAUCAUGAUGUCUACCCUGAGGACACCUCUUGGAACCAUUUUGUUGCCAGGUUCUUCCUCUUCUGCAGUCCCUCACUUUUAGAGCUUCUUUUGUCAUGUUCAUCUUUUAUGGGUGUCUGUACUCCAGGCUUUGACAGGAGGUUGCUGAGGAUUUGAAAAAACUUUUGGCAGGGCCCUGUGUCACUCAGCACUGGCCAUGAGGAACAAUGCCAGACAUUUGCUGCUGGGAACAAGAGGAAAUCUAUUCAGCUGAGGCCCCUGAAGGCUCACCCGUCCGAACACUCGUCCAGCUUUGCUGCGGAUCAGUUCCAGACUGUCAGGGUUCUUCUUCUGAGGCAUCAGGCUGCUGCCAGAGCUGCAAGGAAGGUGUUUGGAGUGCAAUGUGUGCAACUUCCCAGCUACAUCUCCAAUCAGCUCCUGACAACAAGAGGAGGAUUUCUGUCAGUCUCUCUGCGUUCUAAGCAAGAGACUCCACGAGCAGAUCUCCUCCCUGCCUGGAAGGGACUCAGCUCUAGGAUCCUGCAGAUGCAGCUACAGAGGAACAGGACCAAGAGGAUAGAGAACCCAAACCUUUAGUCUGCGUUCGUUGGCAGUGUGGAUGUCCUCAUCAGUUUGGAUCACGCCAAAGACUCCUUUGGACCAUUCCUCAGAGAUCUACAAACACCAGCAGAAACACCAGUCAGCUGCAACAGUUACCCUGCUGUGUGUGGGGGCUCUAAGGGUCCCCAGCAAAUACCAACUCCUGCCACCCUCAUGAAAACUUAACCCCAAAGUGUUAAGUCUCGUGUGAGCUCUGCUAUUCAGGCCGAGGCUGGCUGCUUGCUGUAUCCUGAUAUUCUGGACUACUGGGAUUCAUCUUUCUUCCCAUGCCAAUCCUGCAGUGUUAUGGCUAUAGGAGGAUUUAAUCAUUGCAAGGAAGAAGUCAGCCAAAACAUCAGUGAUUGCUUUAGCAUUGUCCACCAAGGUUUUCCUGUAAAACAUUGGACAGACUCACCGUUGUCCGUGGUGGGUGAGCAACAACAAUGGGUAUUUUUUAAAAAGCGUUUCGCUGCUGACUCCUCUUCCCCCCUAGACAUUGUCUCCUACCAGAGGGCAGCCACACUCAAAAGGAUCCCCACGUGCCAGCAGGAAAAGAAUGUCCUUACUUCAUACUGAAAGGAUUCCUAGUGAAUGUUAGGUCUGAAGAGGAUGGGACAUGAGGACGUUUAAAGAUGCUCUUUAGAACAGCAACUCAGAUGUUGUCAGGGAGGCUGCAAGAAAAUACUGAGUUGACAAAGAGCUGUGGGCCAGCACAAGCCACAUCCUAUAAAACACUCCUGUACCCAUCCAGUGUGUGAAGUUACCGUUUGAAGAAUCUCCAGAGUCCAUGACGUUCUUGCAAGUUUUGGCAUAAAAUUGAGAUAAAACCGGCAAAGGUGCAGAUUGCAGAAAGGGAGGUCUGUGUGCCUUUCGGUGUCACAAAUGUUAGCGUAAAGUGAAAAAAAAAGAACGAGAAAAAAAGCCCAAAGUACCCCCGGCAGGGCUCGGAAGAUGCGCGGG